CAUUAUUUGUGGCAGCGG
rnacentral:snRNA from 1 species